rnacentral:rRNA from 1 species
AUUGAACGCUGGCGGCAGGCCUAACACAUGCAAGUCGAGCGGAAACUAGUUAUCUGAACCUUCGGGGGACGAUAACGGCGUCGAGCGGCGGACGGGUGAGUAAUGCCUAGGAAAUUGCCCUGAUGUGGGGGAUAACCAUUGGAAACGAUGGCUAAUACCGCAUGAUGCCUACGGGCCAAAGAGGGGGACCUUCGGGCCUCUCGCGUCAGGAUAUGCCUAGGUGGGAUUAGCUAGUUGGUGAGGUAAGGGCUCACCAAGGCGACGAUCCCUAGCUGGUCUGAGAGGAUGAUCAGCCACACUGGAACUGAGACACGGUCCAGACUCCUACGGGAGGCAGCAGUGGGGAAUAUUGCACAAUGGGCGCAAGCCUGAUGCAGCCAUGCCGCGUGUAUGAAGAAGGCCUUCGGGUUGUAAAGUACUUUCAGUCGUGAGGAAGGUGGUGUAGUUAAUAGCUGCAUUAUUUGACGUUAGCGACAGAAGAAGCACCGGCUAACUCCGUGCCAGCAGCCGCGGUAAUACGGAGGGUGCGAGCGUUAAUCGGAAUUACUGGGCGUAAAGCGCAUGCAGGUGGUUUGUUAAGUCAGAUGUGAAAGCCCGGGGCUCAACCUCGGAAUAGCAUUUGAAACUGGCAGACUAGAGUACUGUAGAGGGGGGUAGAAUUUCAGGUGUAGCGGUGAAAUGCGUAGAGAUCUGAAGGAAUACCGGUGGCGAAGGCGGCCCCCUGGACAGGUACUGACACUCAGAUGCGAAAGCGUGGGGAGCAAACAGGAUUAGAUACCCUGGUAGUCCACGCCGUAAACGAUGUCUACUUGGAGGUUGUGGCCUUGAGCCGUGGCUUUCGGAGCUAACGCGUUAAGUAGACCGCCUGGGGAGUACGGUCGCAAGAUUAAAACUCAAAUGAAUUGACGGGGGCCCGCACAAGCGGUGGAGCAUGUGGUUUAAUUCGAUGCAACGCGAAGAACCUUACCUACUCUUGACAUCCAGAGAACUUUCCAGAGAUGGAUUGGUGCCUUCGGGAACUCUGAGACAGGUGCUGCAUGGCUGUCGUCAGCUCGUGUUGUGAAAUGUUGGGUUAAGUCCCGCAACGAGCGCAACCCUUAUCCUUGUUUGCCAGCGAGUAAUGUCGGGAACUCCAGGGAGACUGCCGGUGAUAAACCGGAGGAAGGUGGGGACGACGUCAAGUCAUCAUGGCCCUUACGAGUAGGGCUACACACGUGCUACAAUGGCGCAUACAGAGGGCGGCCAACUUGCGAAAGUGAGCGAAUCCCAAAAAGUGCGUCGUAGUCCGGAUUGGAGUCUGCAACUCGACUCCAUGAAGUCGGAAUCGCUAGUAAUCGUGGAUCAGAAAUGCCACGGUGAAUACGUUCCCGGGCCU